UACGUAGGGGGCUAGCGUUGCUCGGAAUCACUGGGCGUAAAGCGCACGUAGGCGGACUCUUAAGUCGGUGGUGAAAUCCUGGAGCUCAACUCCAGAACUGCCUUCGAUACUGGGAGUCUCGAGUUCGGGAGAGGUGAGUGGAACUGCGAGUGUAGAGGUGAAAUUCGUAGAUAUUCGCAAGAACACCAGUGGCGAAGGCGGCUCACUGGCCCGAUACUGACGCUGAGGUGCGAAAGCGUGGGGAGCAAACAGGG
rnacentral:rRNA from 1 species